rnacentral:rRNA from 1 species
UGGGGAAUCUUGCACAAUGGGGGCAACCCUGAUGCAGCGACGCCGCGUGAGCGAUGAAGGUUUUCGAAUCGUAAAGCUCUGUCCUAUGGGAAGAUAAUGACGGUACCAUGGGAGGAAGCCCCGGCUAACUACGUGCCAGCAGCCGCGGUAAUACGUAGGGGGCGAGCGUUGUCCGGAAUUACUGGGCGUAAAGGGUUCGCAGGCGGCAUGGCAAGUCCGAUGUAAAAGGCGAAGGCUCAACCUUCGUAAGCAUCGGAAACUGUCAAGCUUGAGUGAAGGAGAGGCAAGUGGAAUUCCUAGUGUAGCGGUGGAAUGCGUAGAUAUUAGGAGGAAUACCGGUGGCGAAGGCGACUUGCUGGACUUCAACUGACGCUGAGGAACGAAAGCGUGGGUAGCAAACAGG